rnacentral:misc_RNA from 1 species
AGUGAUGAUGAUAUGGGAUUCAGUCUUUUUGAUUAGGAGCUUAUGUCGGUAUGAAAUAGGUCUUCUUUGAGAGAGCAUUUUGUUCUGUUGGAUGUAAUUGAGGUUAUGGAUUUACAUAAUGAUAGUAAUUGCUUUGGGUACAUUUUUGUUUUGAUAUCGGCAAAUGCAUUUGCAAACAUGUUAGGUAUUUGAGUUUUUUAGCAUCUUGGAAAACAUGCUCUGUGAAGUAUAUAAUUUGAUCAAA